CCUUUUCUGGCGCUGGACGCCAGAAUUGGGCAGAGAACUGGCGUUGAACGCCAGUUUACGUCGUCUAUCCUUGUGCAAAGUAUGGACUAUUAUAUAUUGCUGGAAAGCCCUGGAUGUCUACUUUCCAAUGCAAUUGGAAGCAUGCCAUUUCGAGUUCUGUAGCUCCAGAAAAUCCACUUUGAGUGCAGGGAGGUCAGAAUCCAACAGCAUCAGCAGUCCUUUUUCAGCCUGAAUCAGAUUUUUGCUCAGCUCCUUCAAUUUCAGCCAGAAAAAUACCUGAAAUUACAGAAAAACACACAACUCAUAGUAAAGUCCAGAAAUAUGAAUUUUUCCUAAAAACUAACUAAAACAUACUCUAAACUAUAUGAAAUUAUCCCCAAAAAGCGUAUAAAAUAUCCGCUCAUCAUCUACCCGCAACCCGACGUUACUCGGGGUGAACCCCGAAUAUGGUUCCUUUACUGUGUCAGUUAGACACCUUGGCAUCACGGUUACCCGUGUCAGUUAGGCCUCAUCAUAAUAACAUUUUAAUGUGUAUCAUAGUAAGAAACAGUGCUAUCAGUUAGGCGAACAUUUCCGCAUUAGCAAUCUCAGGCUAUCAGUUAGGCGGACACUUUCGCAUUAACAAUUUGGCACAAAGGCCCAUUCAACAUACAAUAUGCUAUCAGUUAGACAGACAUUCCCGCAUUAGCAAUCUUAGGCUAUCAGUCAGGCGGACACUUCUGCAUUAGCAGUUUGGCACAAAGGCCCAGUCAAACAAAUAACAUUCAACUAUCCUUUUCAUUCAUUGUUUCUUAUUUCCUGUCUUUUCAUCAUGCCUCCGCAUCACCUUAUAAAUGUACAUACCUCCGCAUCACCACAUAACUAAGCAUACCUCCACAUCACCAUAUUACUAAGCAUACGUCCGCAUCACCCUUUUAACUUUAACCUUCCUAGGGGUAACUUGCAUUCUUAUUCACUUCUUAGCUUGUUUAGCUUAAUACCUUUUUGGCGACCGGUUUUCAAUCUAACGAUUAAUAUCACAAACGGACUCAGAUUCACGCAAACUUUAUGUCCACAUGUUUAUAUUGAACUCAAGUUUCUAAAAUUUUAGAAAUCGUAUUUUUCUGGGCAGUCUAUCUCCAACUAUUGAGGAAAAACGAAGACUGUUAUUCUAGGUUUGUAGGAACAGCACCUUGCUGUCUUGUUAUGUUGUUUUUAUGUUGUGAAAGCUUACGCACGGACUAUCUCUCUUAUCAAAGUAACUCUAGAGAUUCUAACCUUUACUUUGAAUUAUAUUUUACUGCAUUUGGAUUAGAAUUGAAUUUUAUACAUGGUUUUAAAAUUCUGGUACUGCACUUGUAAAGAUUCAGAAAAACAGCAAGCAGCAGUGUCUUUAUAAAAUUCAUAAUAAUUUCAAUUCUAAUCCGUUGCUCCUAAAUUUUGGUGAGAUUACAGUCAAUAUCCCUAAGUUUAAGAAUCCACAAGUUUCAAGUUCAUAUAACUUCAUUUGAUUCAUUAAUUAUCAAUUGGAAGUGGAGCCCUGUUUUCAUAAACCAGUUCAGAGUUUCCAGCAAACAACCGACCUUCCAAGUGACUUAUCUAAGUCUACAAAAUAGAUAUGAACAUAAAACUUAUACUCACUUAAAAUAGAUUGAUAGAUCUUUAAAAUUCUUUUGAAAUCAACUCAAAAUUCUGUUUAAAUUAAAAGUUAUAGCAUCUGGAAGUUGGUGCUGUAGAACUAGAAAACCAAAAAAAUCUGCAACAACCACUAAACUUCAAAAAUUCAUAUCUUCCAAACCGCUUGGCCAAAUUCCAUGAAAUGUUUAUGGCAUAUUCAAGACAUACUGAUAUUUUACAGAAAAAUAAUUUCAUCUAAAAAUUAGGUCUGGCCUGCUCCCAGAAAGUCAUUCGUUCUGCUGCCAAGUAUGCAGAAAUUCUGCAUCAAGUAAUUCCAACAACCUCACAUACCAAAACUUAUAUUUAAGCCUAAAAUUCCUCUAAAACCAUAAUUCCAACUUUCUUGUGACUAACCAAAGUUGCUAGAGUAAUUAGCACUGCCCCAACAAUCCAGAUUCGAUAUUUUCUAAGUUUUCAAGUGCUUAUACACAAGUGAACAUUCAUUUUUCUGCAUCAUGUUAAAAACAUAAUUUCCACAUGCACUUUUUAUCAUUCAAUCACAUAAUAAAUCAUCAUUCAUCAUCAUUCAACUGGAUUUAGUUAUAACAGAACCCAUCUCAAGCACAACAGCUCAUACUACCAACUAAUUCAAUCAUAAAAUAUAGCCUUUAGCCUUCAAGUAAAUUCUGCACAUAGCAACAUAAAACCCCAAGUAACAUUAUCAAACCUACAAUUCACCAACAGCACCAUCAAUCAGUCACAAACAUAUCCUUCUAAACAUUCAAACCCUUACCUCUUUUGAAGUUCAAAAUUCUAUUUCUGCUUCUUCUUUGAAUUAAAAAUCCUAGACACACAAAAUUGAAGUUUCAGUCACUCCUCUCUUCUCCCUCAGCUCCGUUUCAUUCUUUUCUUUUUUCUGUUUGUGAGUGUCUGUGAUGACCCAGAUGAAGCAAGCACUCAUAUAAGUAGAAGAAGAAGUGGAGGAACUCGUCCUGUCUCUCCUUCUUUCCGUCUUGGUUCUGCUCUCUCUCUCCCUCUCUUUGCUGCCUUCUGUUUCUUGCGUUGAAAAAGGGAGACCCAGUAGAAGCGGUGGGCGUAUAAAUAGGAGAAAAAGAAGUGGAGUGAGGUGGUGAAGAGAGUUUCGUGGUUCUUCCUCCAGAGAACACCUAACCAAAGCCCAUUAUCAUAUGAGGAAACCAAGAGGUGUAACCUUGGUUGGGAGGAGGCUUCUCUCUGUUUUGGUUAUCAGAGAAAGAAUGAAGAAGAUUAGG
rnacentral:lncRNA from 1 species